rnacentral:tRNA from 1 species
GGAGGCUUCGCCUAGUCCGGUCUAUGGCGCCGCACUGCUAAUGCGGUUUGGGUCUAAAACCCAUCGAGGGUUCAAAUCCCUCAGCCUCCG